rnacentral:rRNA from 1 species
UACGUAGGGUGCAAGCGUUGUCCGGAUUUAUUGGGCGUAAAGAGCUCGUAGGCGGUUUGUUGCGUCGGCCGUGAAAACUCAGGGCUUAACUCUGAGCCUGCGGUCGAUACGGGCAGACUUGAGUUCGGUAGGGGAGACUGGAAUUCCGGGUGUAGCGGUGAAAUGCGUAGAUAUCCGGAGGAACACCGAUGGCGAAGGCAGCUCUCUGGCCUGCAACUGACGCUGAGGUGCGAAAGCGUGGGGAGCGAACGGG